rnacentral:rRNA from 1 species
UCAGUUGUGAAAGUUUGCGGCUCAACCGUAAAAUUGCAGUUGAUACUGGAUAUCUUGAGUGCAGUUGAGGCAGGCGGAAUUCGUGGUGUAGCGGUGAAAUGCUUAGAUAUCACGAAGAACUCCGAUUGCGAAGGCAGCCUGCUAAGCUGCAACUGACAUUGAGGCUCGAAAGUGUGGGUAUCAAACAGGAUUAGAUACCCUGGUAGUCCACACGGUAAACGAUGAAUACUCGCUGUUUGCGAUAUACGGCAAGCGGCCAAGCGAAAGCGUUAAGUAUUCCACCUGGGGAGUACGCCGGCAACGGUGAAACUCAAAGGAAUUGACGGGGGCCCGCACAAGCGGAGGAACAUGUGGUUUAAUUCGAUGAUACGCGAGGAACCUUACCCGGGCUUAAAUUGCAGAUGAAUUACGGUGAAAGCCGUAAGCCGCAAGGCAUCUGUGAAGGUGCUGCAUGGUUGUCGUCAGCUCGUGCCGUGAGGUGUCGGCUUAAG